CGACAGUAACCGCUUGGAAGUCAGAAGCAAAGUUGGGAACCGCAGAGAGAGAUUUGUGUGUGUGCCAGUCCAUGGGGGACAAUAGAAGGCAUCAGAGCCCUUGGAGCUGGAGUUGCAGACGUUUGAGAGCUUCCUGACUUGGGUACUGUCAUUCAGUAGACACGUUUGACAGUACCCAUAGAGCAACAUAUACUCUUGAUGACUGACCCCUCUCUCCAGCCCCCCACGUUUUGACCUUUCUCCAGUCUUGGGUGAUCCCUCUGAGAGUCUGGGGAAUGACUGAAUUACUUGUCCUCAGGAAGUCUUGCACAUGCAUACAUUGCACACAUAUAAACACAGGAUGUACUGCAGGCGAUGCCAGAGGACUCAGAUUCCAGCACGGCUCCACGAAAGACAUCAAGCAAUAUUGUGAUAACAGUAGCAUCUUUGGCAAACAGGACAAAAUAAUGUAGGCCAUGGCUACAUGCAGGGGAGGGAUGGACAGACCAAGUCUGAAAUAAAACUGUGCCUUUGAGUAUCUAGAA